rnacentral:rRNA from 1 species
UACGUAGGGGGGCUAGCGUUGUCCGGAAUCAUUGGGCGUAAAGCGCGUGUAGGCGGUCCGGUAAGUCCGCUGUGAAAGUCGGGGGGCUCAACCCUCGGAUGCCGGUGGAUACUGUCGGGCUUGAGUACGGAAGAGGCGAGUGGAAUUCCUGGUGUAGCGGUGAAAUGCGCAGAUAUCAGGAGGAACACCAAUGGCGAAGGCAGAUCUCUGGGCCGUAACUGACGCUGAGGCACGAAAGCGUGGGGAUCAAACAGG